AGUUAGCAUUUUUGAAAAUAGAAAAUAGCAUCUAAUUAAUUUACAUUUUUGAAAAUAAUAAUUACUUCUACUUUAAAAUGACCUUUCAAAUGUACGAGAAACGUAAUAGACGUACGAGAGAAGUAAGCUGACCUUUCAAGGCUUUAAUAGAUUCUCUCAAGAUAUUCCACUCCUUUGAUCAACCUUUGUUCUUAAUAUUUCUCGUUCAUUUUAUUUCAGUGCUCUAGUAUUUCCCGAUCAGAGUCGACGUUCGUACGUAUCUUACUCUUAUUUCGAUAAAUAAUUAAACAUAUAAUAACCGUAUGCUUGUAAUCAUCAAAAUCUAAUUGGAGUUUUCAUAUUUUGACAACCUCAGAGAUUUCCAGAGUAAAGAGGUACGUAAUUAGACUAAGCAUAUUGUGCAUGUGUGUAUACCUAGCUCCUUUUUAAUGAAGGAAACAAAAAUACAUAUAUUAAAUUCAAUUAUACAUUUUAGAUUAUUGAUCUCGAUUUUUUUUUGUCACGUGACAGUAUCUACUCUAAACUUUUCAGCAACUGAAAGCUGAGAACGAUAUUGUUCUUCAACUAACCAAGUCUCAAAUUCUUUCUCUUCUUUCAUUAUUGAAUAACUAUAUUAUUUGCACUAAUUCGGAAGUUGAUUUUCUUUAUUUUUU
rnacentral:sRNA from 1 species